AUGGGCAAGCUGCCACUCAGAGAGGCAAAGAGGUUCAGCCAAGUUCACAUGGGUAUUAGCAGCAGGAACUGGAGCUCUGUUGUCCCACCGCACUUUCUCUUCAGGACAGUCGGAGACCCUUGGCAGAGAAUGACGACUGGACCACUUCCCGUUUCCCAGGCCCUUCACAGGAUGAAGAUUUUUGUGAGGAUCAAGUGGCAUAAACAUACAGGCUCCAGAAAAGCCAGAUUGUAA
rnacentral:lncRNA from 1 species